GCCCUGAGCCAGUCUCAGAGGUUUCAGGGCCCCGGUUUUGUUCUGUAUCCUCUGCUCUGAUGUGAGAAGAUGAUCUGGAUUGUGGGCUUUAGCCUUUUGCUUUCCUACAGGAGCACGUUGUGUAACACAGUGACCCAGAGUUCCCUGGACCAGACAGUGGCAAGCGGCAGCGAGGUGACACUGCCCUGUACUUAUGACACCCAAGAUGCAAAUCCAGAUUUAUACUGGUACCGAAGAAGACCAGGUCAUUCCUUUCAGUUUAUUCUUUACAGGGAUAACAGUGUGGUCAUUGACGCAGAGUUUACUCAGGGCCGGUUUUCCGUGCAGUACAACCAGACCCACAAAACCUUCCACUUGGUGAUCUCCUCAGUGACGACUGAAGACACAGCAACUUACUACUGUGCCAUCUACCACGGUGAUGCAGAUGCCCAGGAAGUUCAUGCAGAAACCCCUGAGCACGGCCUGCCUUUCAGGGCAGCUGGAGUCCUCGGAUGUGGCAUCUUUCUUCCUCGUCACUUUGUGUUCCAACUGGCCUUAGAGGUGCCCUGUCGUGUCUGCGAAUAAUAAAGUGCCUGUCACAUCCAGGGGAGCACCCUGGCUUCAGUUGGAGCAGAGCAUCUCCGUACUUCUGACUCAGUAUCCCCUUGCUAUCCUAGUAUCUGUGGUAGAGAAAAGAGAGCUGCAUGUCUGAGGGAUUGUCAUCUUUGUGUACCUAGCACCCAGGUCAUGCCCGAUAAAGAGUGGGCUUGAUAAGUAUGUGCUGCGUGUGCUGUGAGGGUAUCAGAAUGAUGUAGGCGAAGGGCCAGCCAGUCUGAGACCCCGUCAGAAGUGUCUUCAUUUUAGUCUCCAUCACUUAUCCAUUAUCGUGAAUUGCUGUUUUUUUUUUUUU